GACGAACGCUGGCGGCGUGCUUAACACAUGCAAGUCGAACGGAAAGGCCCUGCUUUUGUGGGGUGCUCGAGUGGCGAACGGGUGAGUAACACGUGAGUAACCUGCCCUUGACUUUGGGAUAUCUUCAGGAAACUGGGGCUAAUACCGGAUAGGAGCUCCUGCUGCAUGGUGGGGGUUGGAAAGUUUCGGCGGUUGGGGAUGGACUCGGGGCUUAUCAGCUUGUUGGUGGGGUAGUGGCUUACCAAGGCUUUGACGGGUAGCCGGCCUGAGAGGGUGACCGGCCACAUUGGGACUGAGAUACGGCCCAGACUCCUACGGGAGGCAGCAGUGGGGAAUAUUGCACAAUGGGCGGAAGCCUGAUGCAGCAACGCCGCGUGCGGGAUGACGGCCUUCGGGUUGUAAACCGCUUUCGCCUGUGACGAAGCGUGAGUGACGGUAAUGGGUAAAGAAGCACCGGCUAACUACGUG
rnacentral:rRNA from 1 species